rnacentral:rRNA from 1 species
UUUCUCCGCCGGCGACCGGCGCACGGGUGAGUAACACGUAUGCAACCUGCCCCUGUCAGGGGGACAACCCGCCGAAAGGCGGGCUAAACCCGCGUACAUGCCACCGGGGCAUCCCGGAGGCAGGAAAGGCUUCGGCCGGACAGGGAUGGGCAUGCGGCGCAUUAGGCAGUAGCGGGGUAACGGCCCACCUAACCGACGAUGCGUAGGGGUUCUGAGAGGAAGGUCCCCCACACUGGUACUGAGACACGGACCAGACUCCUACGGAAGGCAGCAG